GGAUAUUUAAGUUUUUAAUGAUAUUAUUAGGCAAUUUAUAUAUAUUUGCACAAAACACUCGAUUGGGUGUUCUUUUGUGAUAUCACAUUGUAGUUUUUUGAUUUGGUAAAUAGAAACUUUUCUCUUGAUACUCUAAGAGACCUGGGCUUUGAUCCGAAAUGGAUCAAUCGGAAAAAACGAAUGCAUCUCGACUGCUUCUUUCUGUAAAAAUAACACGGGCUGGUCAGUUUUCGGACUGGUCAUUCAAAAAUAGUCAGUGUUUGUCAAGUCAUUGAAAAAUAGCUACUAUUUUGCUGCAACAGAGACCGGUUCAACAUAAUAUACUGGAGUUCGAUGCACCUAUGUAUGAACUUCCAGCAUAUUAUGCUGGAACUCCAACACACGAAAAGUUCCAGCAUAAUAUACUAGAGAUUCGAGCACUUGUGUAUGAACUUCCAAUAUAUUAUAUUGGACCGGUAUACUUGUCACACCCUUUUUUUUUUUUUACCAAACCUCACCAAACCCUCUUAAAAUUAAUUAAAGAUUUAGUAAAGCUUGAAAAGGGUUUUCCAAUUAGAACGUGACAAAAAUUGUAUUUAAAAGGAAAAUAACUCAGAGUCGUCACCUGACAUUUGAUUUCGGUGUGUUAGGUCACCGUUUUUCUAAAAAUAAUAAUUUUCCUUUCAUAAUACUUUGAACUCUAAAACCAAGUCUACACCAGAGAUUAGGGUAAGAGAGUUCAUUUGACUCGGGGAGAAGGUGUUAGGCACUCCCCAAGUCCCGUAACUAGUACAGUUGCGUACUCGAUCUAGUUGGAUUUCAAAACAUUCAAAUUGAGAUAAAACACACAGAAAUAAAAUAAACACACCAAAGGCUCGAGGUCGUCCCCACCUAAAUGAAAGAAAAUGAAAAGGAAAGGAAAAGAAAAAUCCUAAGCUAACCUAUACUACGACUUCUCCACCAUGCUCGCCAAGGCCUAAAUAUUUACAUAGUUCUUCGGGGCAUACCCCGGAUAAUAAUAUAUACACAUUUCGCGGGGCAUUCUCCGGAUAAAUUUAACUAAGAAAACGACCUCUUGCCUCGAAAUAAAAUGAACUAAAGAAAACCUAAGAUUUGCCUACCCGAGUGUGGUCGGAUUAAGCAUGCUACUAGCGCAUAACAAAACAAAAACUAACAAAAACGAAAUAGAACUAUUAUCAUGUCACAUUAAUCCAACUCUAUUUUUCUUUCAAUUUCCAAUCCCACACCCCCUUUGAUUUAACUUAAUUCGUUGGUUCACUCUUUCAUUUAAUUGAGUCAUGAGACAGCACAAAUCAAACCACGUGAAUUAAGAUAAGUCCCGAAUUUUCAACAAUGACACAUAUAUGAACUUUAUAUUUCUUAAAAAACAGAGCAUCAUCAGAAGCAUGUCAACAAAAAUCACAUAAUAAAAUUAAGGGAUUCAAAGAAAGAGAAAAGGGAUUGGACCUUUUUAUAGCAAUACGUUUUGGAACAAUGAAUAAGAAACAUCCGGCAAAGCUACGAUGACGACCUCGAUGCACCGGACCUCGAGGAACUCGAACGGGCUUUAGCGGAAUUCAAACCUGACUGAGACGCGGCUACUGCUGUUCGUUUUCCAGUGAGUUGGGUGUUCUUUGGUGGAGUUGCGAUGGCUACUGGUUUGAUGAUGGGAGAGGGUUGGUUGCUUGUGAGUUUUCUUUAUGUUGUUCCAAGGUAUGAAGGUGGAGACGGCUAAUGGUUUAGGGUGAUGGGGACGGAUGAAGGGAGGAGGAGCAGUGGCUGGUUCUGGCGACGGAGCUGGCUGGUUCCGGCGAGCUAGUUUUGUCAAAGAUGAAUGGUCGUCGGUUUUGGAUUGAAGAAGGGGUGUCCGGUGGGUUUGAGUUGAAGAAGGAAGGCAGAAACGGUUGUUGGUAUUAGGGUAUGUUCAGAGGAAGUUUAGGUGGUCCCGUGGCUGACGUUUUCUGGCGAGCUGCUGGGAGCGGAGCGGCGACGGAACUGGAGUGAGGAGAUGACUGGAGAGCUACUGGAUGGUGGCUUGGAAGGCAGCGGCGGAAGUGUGUGUCCAACUAGGGUUCAACUAGUCUAAUUUCCAUGAAGAAGAAGGGUUCUCUUUUUGGUUUUUGAAGAAGAAGACUCGAUGGGGGGCUGGCCUUUUGUUUUCAGCGGCUGUUUCAGAUGGUUGUUCUCUUUUGGAAGAUCCAAAUUUCAAAUGGGUGUUGUGGCUGAUGAUUAGAGGUGUCUAGGGUUUUUCUAUGGUUUUUUCUCCAUUGUUGUCUUGUUGAAGAAGAUGAAGUAGCUCCUAUGGGGUUUUUAGGUCUUUCUAGGGUUCUGUCUAGGUUUGGGCUAUUGGGUUAGUGGGCUAAGGGAAAUUUCGAAAAUGGACCUAAAAUUGGACCUAUCAAGACACAAAACUAGCCCAAAAUUCAUUCUUCUUUUCCGAGGGUAAAAUAAAAGUAUCACAAAUAAUAAAAUAUAAUUAACAAUUGACUUCAACUGAAAUGCAGUUAAAACGAAAUUAUUUUUAUAUUUUUAAAGAUUAUACUAAAAAAUAGAAUAAUUAGAUUAAAAUCAUCGUAAAAUUAAAAUAAUAUUACUACCAAAACACUAAUAUCCUUGAAAACAAAGUUAAACUAUUUUUUGUAUUUUUGAAUUUUAUGAAAGAUAGAUGAACUAAAGUAACUAGAUAA
rnacentral:lncRNA from 1 species